rnacentral:tRNA from 2 species
CGGAGACUGGCGCAAUUGGCUAGCGCACAUGCUUUGGGAGCAUGGGGUUGUGAGUUCGAGUCUCGCGUCUCCGACCA